AAAAAGGAGAGCCGUUGACACUGGAACCGAGGCCACUGUAUCAAUGGGGCCGAUUUAUACUGCUGCUGAUUCCGCUGUCCCGACUGCAUCUGCCUAUGUGGGUGGUAAUGGACAUUCUGCUCAAGAACAGGACCGGGUAACUGGAGCAGUAGUAGGGGCUGUAUUUGCCACAGCGGGGGCAGUACUACUGGUUGUGGCUGGAUGGUUUGUGGUGAAGAAGGUGUACUGGAUUGGUGGAAUGCCUCACGUCUUCAAAUAAAGGACCCACAGCCUGCCAUCUGCUGCCUGCUGAAGUAGAAUAAUUUGAUCUGUCUGAUAAGGCGGCUCAAGGUAUCAUAGCGCCAAUAAUGGACUGCCAGGAAUAUUGCUCUAGAAGAAGCUACACUAUCAAGAGUUCAAGAGUUUUAAUAGAUGUUUCAUGGUUGCAUAAAAAUGGAUUUGUCCUGUUAAAAUUCCAAAAACAGGUUUUAAAUACAUUGGUUUGAUCAUUU
rnacentral:lncRNA from 1 species